GCCACAGAUUUUCUAUGGGGUUGAGGUCUGGAGACUGGCUAGGCCACUCCAGGACUUUCAAAUGCUUCUUACGGAGCCACUCCUUUGUUGCCCGGGCGGUGAGUUUUGGAUCAUUGUCAUGUUGGAAGACCCAGCCUCGUUUCAUCUUCAAAGUUCUCACUGAUGGAAGGAGGUUUUGGCUCAAAAUCUCACGAUACAUGGCCCCAUUCAUUCUGUCCUUAACACGGAUCAGUCGUCCUGUCCCCUUGGCAGAAAAACAGCCCCAUAGCAUGAUGUUUCCACCCCCAUGCUUCACAGUAGCUAUGGUGUUCUUGGGAUGCAACUCAGUAUUCUUCUUCCUCCAAACACGACGAGUUGAGUUUAUACCAAAAAGUUCUACUUUGGUUUCAUCUGACCACAUGACAUUCUCCCAAUCCUCUGCUGUAUCAUCCAUGUGCUCUCUGGCAAACUUCAGACGGGCCUGGACAUGCACUGGCUUCAGCAGCGGAACACGUCUGGCACUGCGGGAUUUGAUUCCCUGCCGUUGUAGUGUGUUACUGAUGGUGACCUUUGUUACUUUGGUCCCAGCUCUCUGCAGGUCAUUCACCAGGUCCCCCCGUGUGGUUCUGGGAUCUUUGCUCACCGUUCUCAUGAUCAUUUUGACCCCACGGGAUGAGAUCUUGCGUGGAGCCCCAGAUCGAGGGAGAUUAUCAGUGGUCUUGUAUGUCUUCCAUUUUCUGAUGAUUGCUCCCACAGUUGAUUUUUUCACACCAAGCUGCUUGCCUAUUGUAGAUUCACUCUUCCCAGUCUGGUGCAGGUCUACAAUACUUUUCCUGGUGUCCUUCGAAAGCUCUUUGGUCUUGGCCAUGGCGGAGUUUGGAGUCUGACUGUUUGAGGCUGUGGAAAGGUGUCUUUUAUACAGAUGAUGAGUUCAAACAGGUGCCAUUCAUACAGGUAACGAGUGGGGGACAGAAAAGCUUCUUACAGAAGACGUUACAGGUCUGUGAGAGCCAGAGAUUUUCC
ensembl:lncRNA